rnacentral:rRNA from 1 species
AUGCAAAACAUGGAAUUGAACGGCAACGAGCUCAUUUCCCGGUUCAAGAAGUCGAAUCGCUUGGACCGUAAAGACAUGAUUAUGUUCCCAGUUUUAGAGAACAUUGACAAGACAAAGCCUAAAACAGGCAAUCAUUACUGGAUUUUUAACGUGAACAUAAGGGAUCGACGUUUCGAAGCUCUUGAUUCUUGGAGGACGCUAAAAAACAAGUCUUUAGAUGUUUGCGCAAGGAAAAUGGUUGCAAGUUUUCGGUCUCUAUGGGAAGAGCAUUAUGCCAGUUCCCGUGUCUCGCUGGAUGACUUUGGGCUUACCAACAUCGAUGUUCCAAAACAGAACAAUGAGUAA